rnacentral:rRNA from 1 species
UACGUAGGGUGCAAGCGUUAAUCGGAAUUACUGGGCGUAAAGCGUGCGCAGGCGGUUGUGUAAGACAGAUGUGAAAUCCCCGGGCUCAACCUGGGAACUGCAUUUGUGACUGCACAGCUGGAGUGCGGCAGAGGGGGAUGGAAUUCCGCAUGUAGCAGUGAAAUGCGUAGAGAUGCGGAGGAACACCGAUGGCGAAGGCAGCCCCCUGGGUCGACACUGACGCUCAGGCACGAAAGCGUGGGGAGCAAACAGG